rnacentral:rRNA from 1 species
GACCUCAAAUCAGGUAGGACUACCCGCUGAACUUAAGCAUAUCAUAGGCGGAG